CGAGCGCGCCUUCGGGCGAGCGGCGGACGGGUAUAGUAACGCGUGGGAACGUGCCCAGAUCUACGGAAUAGCCACUGGAAACGGUGAGUAAUACCGUAUACGCCCUUCGGGGGAAAGAUUUAUCGGAUUUGGAUCGGCCCGCGUUAGAUUAGGUAGUUGGUGGGGUAACGGCCUACCAAGCCUACGAUCUAUAGAAGGAUCUAGAGGAUGAUCAGCAACACUGGGACUGAGACACGG
rnacentral:rRNA from 1 species